rnacentral:rRNA from 1 species
UACGAGGGGUGCAAACGUUAUUCGGAUUUAUUGGGUGUAAAGGGUGUGUAGACGGUUUAUUAAGUUCGUUGUUAAAACUUUCGGCCUAACCGAAAGCUUGCGGUGAAAACUGGUAAACUAGAGGGUGAAAGAGAGGAGUGGAAUUCUCGGAGUAGCGGUAAAAUGCGUAGAUCUCGAGAGGAACACCGAUGGCGAAAGCAGCUCCUUGGUUCACUCCUGACGUUGAAACACGAAAGCGUGGGGAGCAAACAGG